UUUUUUCUGCAAAAUUUUUCUUCUGAUAAGAACCAAUUGUUUGUUUAUCUAGUGGCCUUGUACUACAUCAUCCUACAGUCAAAAGCAGUUUUGGGUGACCACAAACAGAGACACCAAAUAUUUCCUGGAAUUUCUAUCAUCUUUUCUCAAUUCAGUUAAAAAAAGAAAAACUGCAGGAACAGAGUAUUUUCUACAUUUAACAAAAGCUUAUAAGAAGUAUCAAAGAACUUUAUACGAUUUCAAAUUCAAGUUUCAAUCAAAACAAUAUUAAAAAAAAAAA
rnacentral:misc_RNA from 1 species